GACGUAGGAUGCAAGCGUUGUCCGGAUUUAUUGGGCGUAAAGAGUUCGUAGGCGGUUCGUUAAGUCUGAUGUUAAAGACUGGGGCUCAACCUCGGAAAUGCAUUGGAUACUGGCGGACUAGAGUGCAGUAGAGGCAAGCGGAAUUCCCAGUGUAGCGGUGAAAUGCGUAGAUAUUGGGAAGAACACCGGUGGCGUAAGCGGCUUGCUGGGCUGUAACUGACGCUGAGGAACGAAAGCUAGGGUAGCGAAUGG
rnacentral:rRNA from 1 species